GUAUCCUGGCUCAGGAUGAACGCUAGCUACAGGCUUAACACAUGCAAGUCGAGGGGCAGCAUUGGUCUUAGCUUGCUAAGGCUGAUGGCGACCGGCGCACGGGUGAGUAACACGUAUCCAACCUGCCGUCUACUCGUUGGCCAGCCUUCUGAAAGGAAGAUUAAUCCAGGAUGGGAUCAUGAGUUCACAUGUCCGCAUGAUUAAAGGUAUUUUACCGGUAGACGAUGGGG
rnacentral:rRNA from 1 species